AGUCGUAACAAGGUUUCCGUAGGUGAACCUGCGGAAGGAUCAUUAGUGAAUAUAGGACGUCCAACUUAACUUGGAGUCCGAACUCUCACUUUCUAACCCUGUGCAUUUGUUUGGGAUAGUAACUCUCGCAAGAGGGCGAACUCCUAUUCACUUAUAAACACAAAGUCUAUGAAUGUAUUAAAUUUUAUAACAAAAUAAAACUUUCAACAACGGAUCUCUUGGCUCUCGCAUCGAUGAAGAACGCAGCGAAAUGCGAUAAGUAAUGUGAAUUGCAGAAUUCAGUGAAUCAUCGAAUCUUUGAACGCACCUUGCGCUCCAUGGUAUUCCGUGGAGCAUGCCUGUUUGAGUGUCAUGAAUACUUCAACCCUCCUCUUUCUUAAUGAUUGAAGAGGUGUUUGGUUUCUGAGCGCUGCUGGCCUUUAGGGUCUAGCUCGUUCGUAAUGCAUUAGCAUCCGCAAUCGAACUUCGGAUUGACUUGGCGUAAUAGACUAUUCGCUGAGGAAUUCUAGUCUUCGGACUAGAGCCGGGUUGGGUUAAAGGAAGCUUCUAAUCAGAAUGUCUACAUUUUAAGAUUAGAUCUCAAAUCAGGUAGGACUACCCGCUGAACUUAAGCAUAUCAAUAAGUCG
rnacentral:rRNA from 1 species